UACGAAGGGGGCUAGCGUUGCUCGGAAUCACUGGGCGUAAAGCGCACGUAGGCGGAUCUUUAAGUCGGGGGUGAAAUCCUGGAGCUCAACUUCAGAAUUGCCUUCGAUACUGGCUUUCUAGAGGCUGGAAGAGGUUAGUGGAAUUCCCAGUGUAGAGGUGAAAUUCGUAGAUAUUGGGAAGAACACCAGUGGCGAAGGCGGCUAACUGGUCCAGAUCUGACGCUGAGGUGCGAAAGCGUGGGGAGCAAACAGG
rnacentral:rRNA from 1 species